GAUGAACGCUGGCGGCGUGCCUAAUACAUGCCAGUCGAGCGAACGGACGAGAAGCUUGCUUUUCUGAUGUUAGCGGCGGACGGGUGAGUAACACGUGGAUAACCUACCUAUAAGACUGGGAUAACUUCGGGAAACAGGAGCUAAUACCGGAUAAUAUUUUGAACCGCAUGGUUCAAAAGUGAAAGACGGUCUUGCUGUCACUUAUAGAUGGAUCCGCGCUGCAUUAGCUAGUUGGUAAGGUAACGGCUUACCAAGGCAACGAUGCAUAGCCGACCUGAGAGGGUGAUCGGCCACACUGGAACUGAGACACGGUCCAGACUCCUACGGGAGGCAGCAGUAGGGAAUCUUCCGCAAUGGGCGAAAGCCUGACGGAGCAACGCCGCGUGAGUGAUGAAGGUCUUCGGAUCGUAAAACUCUGUUAUUAGGGAAGAACAUAUGUGUAAGUAACUGUGCACAUCUUGACGGUACCUAAUCAGAAAGCCACGGCUAACUACGUG
rnacentral:rRNA from 1 species